UUUUUUUUGAAAACAUUUUGUACAUAGAUAGAUGAUAGGUGUUUUCACGUUUCAAGGAAAUCCAUAUUGAUUCAAAUGAGCUAGUCACCAGCAAAGAAGGCGGAUCCUGUUGAGCAUGAGGCUACCAGAGAGCGCUGGUGAUGGUGCGUCAGGUAUGGCCUCCAUCUUUUGUCGGGAGUUCAGCUCGUCAGCAUGUGCCACCUACUGAGCUCACCAUCGACCACGUGAACGAAACCCACGAAGAGUAAAAUGCUGACUCUGGAACGAUGACGCACGGAGAUCACAAAAAUGGGGAUUUAUCCUACGAGAUCAUUUGCGUAUAGGAUUCGCACUACACUUAGCAUGUAAUAUAAAAGGCAGAUCCGUCCAUCAAAUGGUGAAAAGCUUUUGCUGCUUGAAAAGUGAUGUGGAAUUGCGACGAUUGAAUUCCAUGUCGAUUUCUUUUCAUCCAGUUCCACUUUACGGCAGAGCAAAGGAUUUCUGCCACUCGGCAUUUCAGCUCAAGUUUUCUGAAUAAGAUUAGCCUCACACUUACUUUUCUUUGGAACCAUUUGAUUUCGUUAUUAUCCUUAGUGUGUCCUGGCUGCUGCUAAGAUAUCAAUCGGCCACUUCUCUCCCCCAAUUUGCUCUCAGAUCUGUAGUUUCUCAGACAUGACGUCAUUAAGCCACAGUCUGAUGAAAUGUAUCGAAUUUUUUCAGAGUGAAUGAAGCGAUAGCGUACAUAACUCCUAAAGAAUUUCGUCCUUUUGGAUGAAAGGAGUUUCGCAAUCAGACGGAUGCCGUUCCUAUACUCACGAAGAUGUAGACCCCCUAUGGUCGAGCAUGAAAAUUUAUCACUAUGGACGUCCCUUCCACCCACUGGUAUUACAUCCUCAUUCUUUUUUGUUCCAGCUUCCGCUUUAUUCUUUUCUUAGUUCAAUCACUUAAAAAGAAAGCGCCCAUCUAUAUAGCCCUUGUUUCUAAGGAAACCAG